rnacentral:rRNA from 1 species
CGGGGGAGCAAGCGUUGUUCGGAUUUACUGGGCGUAAAGGGCGCGUAGGCGGCCACCGCAAGUCGGUUGUGAAAUCUCCGGGCUUAACCCGGAAAGGUCAAUCGAUACUGCGGGGCUAGAGUGCAGAAGGGGCAACUGGAAUUCUCGGUGUAGCGGUGAAAUGCGUAGAUAUCGAGAGGAACACCUGCGGCGAAGGCGGGUUGCUGGGCUGACACUGACGCUGAAGCGCGAAAGCUAGGGGAGCGAACGGGAUUAGAUACCCCGGUAGUCCUAGCCUUAAACGAUGAAUGCUUGGUGUCUGGGGUUUUAUAGUCCCCGGGUGCCGUCGCUAACGCUUUAAGCAUUCCGCCUGGGGAGUACGGUCGCAAGACUG